AUGGAAAUCCACAGGAGGUCUGAGCUUGGAUCUCUGGGAUCCAGUCCUCUGGGUGGGCUGCUUACCUCGGGGGUGACCCACUGUCCUGGUUUGCCUGGGACUAAAGGGGUUCCUGAGACAUGGGACUUCCAGUUUUAGAACUGGGACAGUGCCAAGAAACUGGGGAUGUGUUGAUCGCUCUGUUUACCUCUCUGAACCUCAAUUUGCUCAUAUCUAAAACCAGGAUAGUUACUAUCUGUCGGAGGACGAAAUGGGAUAAUGCAGGGAAGCAUCUAGCACAUGGCUCUUCAACCUGUAAAAUGGGAGG
rnacentral:lncRNA from 10 species